GCGCACAUGACUCAACGAUAUUCCUUACCGCGCGUCUUCCUUUUACGAUCCAGAAACGACUGCGUAGCAGUGUUAGAACCUGCUCAACUCCGGAACCAUGUCCGAGUUCUUCAUGUGCAUCCUUGAUGAUGAGUCGGGUCACCACGUGUUCUUUUGGCAAUAUAAUGGGGUGUUUUGUGUUGUAGGAUAGUUCAUCCGCAAGUCUUAAACGUCCGUCCAUCCUCAGAAGACCAUCGUCACCGUUCUUUGGACUAAGUCGCAGUAAACAUCCUUCUCGCUCUCCUUUCGGGAAAGCUUCUCGUUGCGCUUGUUUGAUCCACCACUUUUCCACAUUAAGUAUUUCAGUUGAACAAAGCGUUCUGUCUCGUUUUCGUAAUUCCCUUGGAAGUCUGCAGUUUGUAACGAAUCGUUGAACCCAUCCAGUCACACGACAAAGGCGACGGAAGGUAGAAAAAUGGUUUGGAUCAACACCCAGGUUAACGCGCGCCUGGACCAUGUACGUCUGUGCCACUGUCUUUUCAAUAUCUUCAACUUUCGUCUCCUCUCUAACGGAAGGCGCUGAUGGCCCCGAGAUCUCGACAUCUUUCAAGAACGAUGGUCCUUCCAACCAAAAUGUGCUUUUGGCUAAAUCCAUAGCAGAUUGACCUCGGGUCGCUAGAUCUGCUGGAUUCUGUAUCCCAGGUACAUGCCUCCAUUGCUCGGGACUCGUCGUCCGUUGAAUUUCUGCGAUACGGUUGGCUACGAAGGGUUUAAACUGCCGGCUGUGGUUUCGUACCCAAUACCACACAUUCUCGGAGUCAGUCCAAAAUAUCACUCGAUCGACAGUCAAGACUUUCAGAAGACUUUGAGCUAAACGGCUUGAGAGAAUGGCACCCAUAAGCUCCAGUCUGGGAAUCGUCAUCGCUUUGGUGGGGGCUACACGGCACUUUGAUGCGACAAGGCGUGAUGUAGGGCUAUCGUCUUCAUAUUGGCACACCAAAUAAGCGACUGAUGCGUAGGCGUCUUUAGAGGCAUCCGAGAACAGGUGUAGUUCCAUUUUAUUCGGGUUUGCGAGGCGUAAGCAGCGUGGUAUGGCGACAUGCGAUAACUGCGAAAGUUCUGUAGCCCAGUUCUUCCACUUAGUUGCUAGAUCACUUGGAAGGUUGUCAUCCCAAUCCAACCCUGCUCUCCAAAUCUCCUGCAUGAGAAUUUUAGCCCGAACAAGGAAUGGCGAGAGAAACUGAAGGGGGUCGUAUACAGCAGCUAUGGCGCUCAGUACAUUACGUUUCGUAGGGGUUUUAUUCGCAUCAGGAGGUUCCACUCUGAAGGUAAAUACAUCUCUUUCAGGAUCCCACAAGAUUCCCAGAGUCUUGGUUUUAGACGGCUCUUCUUUGUUAAUUUCAACAGCAGAUAACCGGUCACUCUCGGGGAUGCUUGCGACAACUGAUGGCUCGUUCGACGACCAUUUCCGCAGCCGGAAACCUGCCAGACCCAACAGGUCAGAUAACUGACGUCGCAGAUCCUGGGCACUCUCUAUAGUCUCGCUUGAAUCUAAGACAUCGUCAACAUACAUCGAGUUAUCGACCGAUUCUGCUGCCGCUGGGAAUGUCUCUGUAUGUGCUUGAGCGUGGGCGUGUAUUACAUUCUGUGCGCAGAAUGGCGAGGCAGUAUUACCAAACAACAGGCGUCGAAACUCGUAUACGUCGGGCUCUCUUGAAGGAUCGAAAUCUCGCCAUAAGAAUCUGUGGAAGGGACGAUCUUUGUCUUGUAGACCAACUUGCAGGAACAUUUCAGGAAUGUUUGCGCUCAAAGCAACUGGUGCUCGACGAAAGCGGGUGAGAACAUCUACUAUUUCUCGUUGUAGUUUCGGACCUGGCCGUAUGCUGUCAUUUAAGCUCUUUCCGUCAUGCUUC
rnacentral:lncRNA from 1 species